UACGUAGGGUGCGAGCGUUGUCCGGAAUUAUUGGGCGUAAAGAGCUUGUAGGCGGUUUGUCGCGUCUGCUGUGAAAAUCCGGGGCUCAACCCCGGACUUGCAGUGGGUACGGGCAGACUAGAGUGUGGUAGGGGAGACUGGAAUUCCUGGUGUAGCGGUGGAAUGCGCAGAUAUCAGGAGGAACACCGAUGGCGAAGGCAGGUCUCUGGGCCGAUACUGACGCUGAGGAGCGAAAGCGUGGGGAGCGAUCCGG
rnacentral:rRNA from 1 species